GACAUUGUUCUGGCUUCUCCA
rnacentral:snRNA from 1 species